rnacentral:rRNA from 1 species
UACGGGGGGGGCAAGCGUUGUUCGGAAUUACUGGGCGUAAAGGGCUCGUAGGCGGCCAACUAAGUCAGACGUGAAAUCCCUCGGCUUAACCGGGGAACUGCGUCUGAUACUGGAUGGCUAGAGGUUGGGAGAGGGAUGCGGAAUUCCGGGUGUAGCGGUGGAAUGCGUAGAGAUCCGGAAGAACACCGGUGGCGAAGGCGGUCGACUGGGCCAGUACUGACGCUGAGGCGCGACAGUGUGGGGAGCAAACAGG